rnacentral:rRNA from 1 species
GUUUACGGCCAUACCAGCCUGGGUACGCCCGAUCUCGUCUGAUCUCGGAAGCUAAGCAGGGUUGGGCCUGGUUAGUACUUGGAUGGGAGACCACCUGGGAAUACCAGGUGCUGUAAGCU